rnacentral:rRNA from 1 species
GGAUUGUAGGCUGCAACUCGCCUACAUGAAGUCGGAAUUGCUAGUAAUCGCGGAUCAGCAUGCCGCGGUGAAUACGUUCCCGGGCCUUGUACACACCGCCCGUCACACCAUGGGAGUCGGUAACACCCGAAGCCUGUAGUCUAACCGCAAGGAGGACGCAGUCGAAGGUGGGAUUGAUGACUGGGGUGAAGUCGUAACAAGGUAUC